AAGCACAGCCUCUGAUUCCUCCCCAGAACAGAACUACCCGUCUAAACAGAGUCUGGAUGGAGUCUCUGAUCCUAUCGAAGCUUAUGGGUGUUGUUUUUCAAUGGUUUGCCCAGAAAUUCUCCCAGGGAAUUCUCACUGAGGAUUCUGCAGGGGGUGACAGAAGAGUGAAGGGAAAAGCUCUUGCCGCGUAAUACUGAGAGGCCUAACGUGUGCUUGCAAUGUUGAGAUAAAACACCGAUUGAGGGCCAGCCACAGUGCUUGGGGACGCACGGCAAUGAGAAACACCUCCUACUUUAAAGAAUCCCCGAGUCGGUCGGAUACAGAAGGAGAUAAGGAAACAGCUACUUGGAGAUCCAGACUGAACAGCUCAUUUUCCAGCCUUCUUUGCAGUGAGGUAUAUCCAUCUGACUAAGUUCUGAGCAGCAGAAUGGGAAGGACAAUGAUGAGUGAAACGUCUCCUUGAAGUCUCUUAAAGAGAAGAAACAUACUCUUCUUACUCCUGUCUGCUGCCUACGAUGUGGAAGCACUGGGUUUCUUACUUUCAGGCUUAUUAUA